AUGAUUUGGAUUUGUAAUGACUUUUUAAGGGCUAUAUAAAGUCAAAUUUGUUUCAGAUGACUUGGGUUUUGUGAAAUAAAAUAGGAUUGACGUUUGAGGCGAUUUCAAGAAUUUUAUAAUUGAUCUACAAGUGAAAUUUUGUGGAUUAAUGGUCAUACUUGUGCUUAAAAUGUAUUGUGAAUCUUAGCUCCAUCUAAUAUUUAAAUUGAGGAUUAUUGAGGUUUUAGUGGGUUAAGGUCUCAAAAAAUAGAAUUUUAGGUCUAGUAAGAGUUUUUAAGAUUUCUUGCAAUCUACUAGUUGGAUUGGAAUAAAAUUUAUGUGUAAGGAUAUUAGACUUAUUUUUCUAUGUAUAUGAGAUUUUUUAGAUCAAUAAAAAAAUAAAAAGGAGAGAUAUUGGCUCUGAAAAAUUGGCAUCAAGGUCAAAAAAAGAGGCCGGCAAAUACCCAAGCACGUUUUUGAGGCUAUCGUUUAUUUGGUAAUUUUGAUCCUUUUCAAAUUUUUUGUGCUUGUUGUCAACUUAAUUGAUAAGAAGUGUGAAAAUUUUGAGUUAAAAUCAAUGGUUCAUUCAUUAGUAAUUGAGAUUUAAAUCUAUUAUAGAAAUUACUAGGAUUUGAUUUAGGAUUUAGGAUUUAGUUAGGAUUUGGUUAGGAUUUGGUUUAGGAUAUAGGAUUUGAUAUAGGAUUUAGGAUUUGAUUAGGAUUUGAUUUAGGAUUAGGAUUUAAUUAGGAUUUGGUUUGGAUUUGGUUUAAGAUUUAAGAUUUGGUUAGGAUUUGAUUUAAUUAAGAUUUGAUUAAGAUUUUAGGAUUUGAUUAGAAUUUGAUUUAGGAUUUAGGAUUUUAUUGGGAUUUAUUUAGGGUUUAAGAUUUAUUUAGUUUUUGGCCUAA
rnacentral:lncRNA from 1 species